CAGAAGCUUUGAACAGGAUAAGGAUGUGUAAAAAAAAUAUAUAUUAUCAUGUUUAAUGUCCUUUUUUAUUUUUUUAGUACUGCCUUUCAGAAGCUACAGGAAAUAUUUGCAUGUUUCAAAAAAAUUUCACCACCCGCUCUUAAUUUUAUAAUAUUUUAUAAUUGUCUAUGACUCUGUCCACCACCUUGGAUAAAAUUUUUCACUGAGCUCAUUACACUGCAUUGUGGGAUUACCUUAUCCAUAAAAAUACAGGCCUAAGUUUGAUGUUGCUAUGGAGUUUGACCAAAAACAGUUCUUAAAAGACUGACAAAUAUAUGCAUUUUCCUGUUUGAAAGUUCUCAUUAUCAAGCUCUGAAUAAUACAGAAAAUGCGCUGUCUUUCUACCUGAUAAACUGGUUUGUUAGAGUUACUGUGUUGUGUCUUAAGCCUGUUUUGGGGGGCUAGUUAUCUGAAUACAAAAAGGUUUUUUUUUUUUUUUUUUUGUCGUGCAGUCUGGAUUGAGUCUGUAGUCAUGUAUGUUUAGAAACACUUCAAUAUCAUAUGAGUCAUAAGACACUUUUUAUGCAUGCUGUUCCAACUUUCAGUAUUGGUCAAAAUGUCUGUAUUGUUGAAUGCUUGCUGUUGUGUCUGUGAAGAUCCUGGAGUGAGUUUAGCGCUGCAGACUGAGCCGUGCUUUAAUGGACAUGAGAGAGAGAUGAAGGAUAAUUAAAGAGACUGAGGGUGACAAAAAGGCAUGUGAUUGAAGACAAAGGGGACAACUAACACACAACGGAGGUAUGGAUGAUUUGUCAUAUGUGGGGUCUGGCUGAGGGCCACUGUUGCCCGGGCGUCUGCACCCCAUUGGCUGAUUCACCAGCAUGUACCGUAGAAACGGCCUAUCGGAUGGCACCAGCAUUAGCUCCGCCUCCUCUGAGGCUGGCUGUUCUCUGAUGGACAGUUUAUGGGUUUGCAGUGGAGCACUGCAUUGCUC
rnacentral:lncRNA from 1 species